AUAGUUUGAAGACCUACGCAAACAUCAACAGCCGUAAAAUUACUGAUAUAGAGAUGACAUGGUGUGUAUUUGUUAUAUUGCCAUAGAUUGAUCAAAGAAUGGCCUAUAUUUUCGAAAAAGAUCGGCCUUGGCGGAAUUGUUCAGUCAACAAUCAUCUUCAUAAAGAGGGUAUCAUCUUUAAUAUACUGACGAUUUUUCAAACUUUCCAAUGCCAUGAAGAGAGGUGAUCCACAAGCGAUAUUCAUGUCUGACUUUGGUCGCUGAAAUGAGGAAUUUUGAGGAUCUGAAUGAAAAGCAUCAAUCAUGUGAUCACCAUUUCCUUGAUCCAUUAACAUCAUUGUGAUCUUCUUUUGGAAAGGCCAUGUUUGAAGUGCAUCGUAAUCACCUAAGAGCCAUCAUAAAGUAUUCAAAAACAUACAUGUGGUGGACAGAUUUUCGAGAUAUAUACAUAAGAACGAAUCAACAAUUGACUCAUUCAUUUGUGUGCAUUACUAUGUAUGGAUCAUUAAAAAUAUGUUUUGCAA